UCCGGUUGAAGUCACAUGAUCGCUCAUUAUGGCCAUGCAAACUAGGCAGCUUAAAUCCAGGCCCUGCUUGGGCUAACAUCAGACAUUCAAAUAGCCGUGCUUUUCUAGAGACAUGGGACAAGGCAGUCACGGGGGACCUUUCCUUAGCAGCGACAGACGGCAACACACACUACAAAGGAGCUAUCAUUGUCAAAUAUGAACAGAAACUAUGCUCUCUUUUCGGAUGGUUUGAACUUUUUCCUUUCGUUGCUUUGCGGAGGUUGUGUGUUAUAAAUGAAAACUGAAGUUUUCCGUGAAUUGUUGAUACCUACGGCGAACGGGUGCCACACCUUCAUUUAGCGCAACAGCUCCACUACCCAGCUGGCCAGAUGGGGUGCCAAUGCUGUCGGAUGCUGAAAAGUUACAUCUAUGAUCCGACCGCUCAGGUGGACGUCCACGGCAGGAAGAGGGACCCGGCUGAGAGCUCCCUCUACCAGUCCCACCACCUACCAGGAGACAGCGGGAACCAGUUCAACAUCAAGCAGAACCAGGGCUUCCACAACCUCGGCUUCAGCAACAAGUACACCGAAAGAGGAGGUGGCGGAAGCCUCAAGCUGGAGAUCGACAACAACCACAUCAACAAGCUCCACGCCGUGCCCACCAAUCCAGAGAGGGAGUUGGGCACGGGGCAGGCAGCCAAGCCUCAUGUGGGAGAGGGUGGUGGAGAUCUAUAUAUCCUCCAUCCAGAGGGCCAGGUGUCAAGACGAGAUCCAUCCAAGGGCCUCAAUCUAGUCCGAGUCUAUCCCAACACACCCUCCCUGGAUCUUACUCUCAAUCUGACCCACUCAGGUGACAUUGACUCUCACCCAGACAAGAUUAGGAUGGUCCGGAACUUCUCGGAUCCCUCCAUCGGGGACAGAUAUGGGGUGGGGUGCAACACCUCAUCAGUGGACGAGCUGGACGAGGGGGUGGGGGGCACGCCGGAGUACCUGGGCGACACGGGAGAUGAGCAGAGUGUCCUGUCUGUGGACAUUCAAACCAGUACGACUAGCCUGUCCUCGGCAGACACAAACGACGAUAGGGGGGCGCCGGAUGCCACUGCCACAGAGAAUGGGAUCGGGAUCUCAGUGAAGAAGAGCGAGGAUGAGGAGAAGGAAGGGGAAGACGAUGACGUGCAGAGCGUCACAGACUCUAUGGUGGCAGAAGCUCUGGCAGCUCUAGAGGCAGCGACUGCCGGGGAGGACUAACUGUCAAAAAAACACAAUCUAACAUCCAUUCAGCUUCAGUAUCUGAUGGGGCCGAAUGAGGAGAUUCUGAUGUAUCUUUUAACAUAUCACAUGUCUGCAUUCUCAGGAGAAGGAGAGAAGACUCUUGGCGCUCGACUGUGAAUAUUCCCAGCGUCCUAAUCCCCAAUAUAUGAGCCCUGGGACCAGGCCUAAUGAAGGCCCUUGGAGCGUUACUCAGGCCAAAAGGAGACGCCAGGGACUCACAAACACCUGAUUACACCCGGGCUAAGGCGGUGAACGUGCUAACUUUGGCUCACCACAUGAUAGCUAUUAGUGUGUCUCUCCCAACCUCCCCUCGCAGUUGGAGAGGAGACACCGAAAUAUCCCAAUCUUGUGAUGUUUCUUUUUUUAGCCACAUUAUCUCUCCCAUCUCCUUUUCUUUACUGAGUGUUUGUCUCCAUUUAAUCACACACCAUCCCUCUCCCCGUAAAGACACGGUUUUGAGGGGGGCAUCUGUUUCUGUGGUAAUACAGUGUUGCUUCUGCUUUAAUAUAUAACAGUGGCCUUCCUCUUAAUAUCUCUCCAUAUCAACUCCUUCACAGUAACAACCCCUUUCUCACGGUGCCCUAAAGUGACUGCUCAAACAGAGGUUAUCAUCUGAUCUGCUGUUUGAGGUGUAAACUUGCUUGUUUUACUAGAAGGAAAACCUAAAUGUGCCCGUCUGACUCAGCCACUAAACUCUCCCAGAGAGGUUACAUGAUGUAAUAACAGCUCACUCAGCAGCACCACAGUUAAUCUUACGACCCUAACCCUGACUGACUAACUGCCUGAGUGACUGAGUGACUGACUGCCUGAGUGACUGAGGGACUGCCUGAGUGACUGACUGCCUGAGUGACUGACUGCCUGAGUGACUGACUGCCUGAGUGACUGACUGCCUGAGUGACUGACUGCCUGAGUGACUGACUGACUGCCUGAGUGACUGACUGACUGACUGAGUGACUGACUGACUGCCUGACUGACUGCCUGAGUGACUGACUGACUGCCUGAGUGACUGACUGACUGCCUGAGUGACUGCCUGACUGAGUGACUGACUGACUGCCUGAGUGACUGACUGACUGCCUGAGUGACUGACUGACUGCUUGAGUGACUGGCUGACUGCUUGAGUGACUGACUGACUGCCUGAGUGACUGACUGACUGCCUGAGUGACUGACUGAGUGACUGACUGACUGCCUGAGUGACUGACUGACUGCCUGAGUGACUGACUGACUGCCUGACUGAGUGACUGAGUGACUGCCUGACUGACUGACUGACUGACUGACUGCCUGAGUGACUGACUGACUGCCUGAGUGACUGACUGCCUGCCUGAGUGACUGACUGCCUGCCUGAGUGACUGACUGCCUGCCUGAGUGACUGACUGCCUGCCUGAGUGACUGACUGCCUGCCUGAGUGACUGACUGCCUGCCUGAGUGACUGACUGCCUGCCUGAGUGACUGACUGACUGUCUGGGUGAUUGACUGCCUGAGUGACUGACUGCCUGAGGGACUGACUGCCUGAGGGACUGACUGCCUGAGUGACUGACUGCCUGAGUGACUGACUGCGUGAGUGACUGCCUGCCUGAGUGACUGCCUGAGUGACUGCCUGAGUGACUGACUGACUGCCUGAGGGACUGCCUGAGGGACUGACUGACUGCCUGAGGGACUGACUGACUGCCUGAGGGACUGACUGACUGCCUGAGGGACUGACUGACUGCCUGAGGGACUGACUGACUGCCUGAGGGACUGACUGACUGCCUGAGGGACUGACUGACUGCCUGAGGGACUGACUGACUGCCUGAGGGACUGACUGACGGUAGGGGGUUUCAUGGUCUGUGAUGUCACAGAGCAGGUUAAAUUAACUACUACCCCUUCAGCCGUCUUGGGGUCUACUUUUGGUGUCUGUGUGUGUGUGUGUCUGUAUGUGUGUGUGUAUUAAAAAUACACAGAGGGUUACAGUUUCAACACUGGCGUCAGGUAGAAAUCUAUAUGUUGAAGAGUUAAUGGCGCUUUGUCUGCCCAACCUGUACGGUAGAUGGUCUAUUUUCCAUUAUAUAACAGAACAGUACAGUAUCCUUGUGAAGAAGCACAGACUACAGUGGCUCAGAAAUGUAUUGUAUGAUUUCUGUAAAAAUUCUCAUAAAUAAAAUAACCAUGAAAAUAA